rnacentral:pre_miRNA from 1 species
GGGUUGGUAGCAUACCCUGUAGCUGCUAAGGGGCGCAGUUUUAAUACCUCCCCUUUGCUGCUACAUUGUAUGCUACGGACCC